UUUUUACUCUAUACUAAUAAUCAUACUCGAGUCUUGAUAUAAUGACCUAUAUAUCAAGAUAACCAUUAAUUACCAGCUCCUAUGUACCCUUUUCUACAAACAAUUGUUUUCUUUUGCGUGUCUUGUACACUUGUGCUUACUCUUCUAUAUAUGCAAAUCUCAAACUCUGCAAAUCCUUCAUUAACACACAUACUCUUAUAUACACACACACUCGAAACUCCUCUGAUAAAUUGGAAAUGGGCGCCACUGCUAUGGACGUACGAUGGUGCCGUCUAUGCUUUCCAAAAGCUGAGGAUUUAGGCGGGCGCUCACGCACACACCCUACGCCGGUGGUCUGAUAAUGCCAUAUAUCAAGUUCAGGUGCGCCGACGCUAGCCGGACCCCAGCUGACCAGCAUCUUGUUAAAGGGGUUUCAAGCAGAUUUUAGAUCGGUGACCGUGGGAUGGGGACCUUUAGGAUGCGUAACUAGAUAAGAUUGAUGACAAAUUAUCCAAAAGCGUUUGAAAUAUUGUCAGAUGCUUAUCCAUUCAAAAACCACACAAGUAUGUAUGUUUUCUUUCUCUUCUGACCCCAUUUUGCUCACCUGCUUUCCCUACAGUCCAUUCAUAUUUGUCAACCUUAGGCGCUAUAUUACACGAAAAAGAGCACUACAUAUUUGUGUCUCCGUCAUAAUUUAUUUAUCUUUAGUUUUAGUUUGAUGUGUGUAAUAUAUCAAAAUAUUCUUUGAAUUAUAUAGAUGUUAUAAUUAUAAUGGCGGAUUUAGAAUUUUUGUUCAGAAGAUUUGAUAUAUAAAGUAGUAAGCAUAUAUAAAAAGUAUAUUAAAAAAAUAAAGUGUACAUCCGCUAAAUUUUAACUUAUCUUAUGUCCUCUUUCAAGUUUUACUUUGAGAGCCUUCAUAAAAAAUACUGUCUUUUAUUUCUUUCACUUUAUAAUUUUAUUUUAUUUUAAUUUUUUUUCUUUCAAAUUAAUACCCUCACACACAAAAAAAAAGGUUCUUGAAAAGUGUAAGCAUUGCAUUAU